UUUUCAGUCUUAAAUGAAUGAUAUUUUUCACUGAGAAGAGAGAUUUAUUUAAAAGGCAGUUUUUUGUCAACAUCAAAUGAUCUUCAGUUUAGAAGAUAUCUUCAGGGUCCUAACAUCAAGUGCCUGUGUGCUGAAGACUGGAACAUGCACAGAGAAUAUGGAUAUUUGAACAAGAGUCAUUCCUUUGGCUACCCAUUAAUCACGAGAUGUAGCUGAAAAGUGAUUCUUUCCACCAUAGACUAGCAAACUGCUAAUAUCCACAGACACUAGAGAAAUUAUACAAAAUGAUAGUGUACAGUAAGUGGACCAUCUUUGCUAUACUUUACAGAAGGAAGGGCAGAAAGAUCACACUUCUUACACAUAAAGCAAAAUUGUGCAUGUUAGGAAAGGAUACACGAAACUAAAAGGGCUUAGAAUUUAGCAGCUGUUUGGAAAAGGGUUACAAAAGUUCACAUGCAACUAUACUGACGCAGCAAAAUAAGACUGGAAAUCUUACCAAGAUUUUCAUAUGAAAGUAUUUGUCACGUUAUUUUUCUGCUUAUAAGUCCUUCAGAAGGCCGUUGUAUGUGGUAAUGCUGCAAUUUAGAUGAAAACUAUGUUGGUGAAACACAUCAGCAUUUCAGAAGGUUUCUGUUCAAUGUUGUUAGGAGAUAGAGAACCCACAGCAGCACUCUAUUUAUGAAUGGCUAAUUAUGGUUUUGUUUUGGACUGUAAUUUUUUUAUUCUCAAAUGCUCUUUUGUGGAUAUGUUUAAUCAUAGUCAACACUUUGCUUCUUGCAACAUCAUUGCUAAUUAACUUCCAGGUGAAAUGUGUAUAGUUUGAAGGCCUUCCAUAUAAUUUCCAUCCUUCUGUGCCUGUCUGCUUCCUGAGACCUCACCAGAGUAUUUGCUGUGGUUGGACACCAUGCUUUCACUCCUUGAGGGGUAGCACUUUUCUUAUAGACGAGGACUGAAGCAAUCUAAGUCUAUUUCAGGCAGAUAGAAAUCCACAUAUAUAAACCUUGCUACACAUAGAACAAUGCUUAACAGACUCUCUCUAGAAAAUCUUAUUCCAGAUCUUUUAAUGACCUGUGAUAUUCCCUCUGAUUUCUUUCCAAAAGUGAUAGUCUGAAUGAAUAGCAUUUCAUUGGAAAUAAAGUACUGUGAUAAAUACCAUCACUCAUAAAUAUGCAAAAAAUUAUCAGAUAUACUGAUAAGAACCUCACAAAUGCACACCAUAAAAUCCUGUUGCACACGAAGAAUCAGAACUGUCCAUCACAUAUACCCCCAAAUGUUGCAGUACUCCAAAAAAGGAGGAGAAUUCCACUCAUCAAAGGAGAUGCUGUUCUUUUGCUACCACUACUAAUAUUAUAACUUUGGUGGAGGUUUUUCAGGGCUAUGCUGGAACUGGCAGUCUACAAGUCUCUAAUGGAAGGAAAUGAUAGACUUCCUAAAGCAACAGUAUCAUUUCACUAAUGUGCAACUCAAAGUAUUCAAGUGAAAUCUAAUAGCUUCUACUUUCCUGAAACAUUAUUAAAAUAAUUGCUCCCUCUUUUUGCAAAGUAAUAUUUUAUGUAGCAUUUGUCAAAAAGGAAGGUAACCUAAACUAUAAUAGGGAAAUGUAAAUUGUGAAUACAAUACAUCAGUAAUUCCUGAGUGGUGUAACAAGAAGGAUUCUACAGCCCAAGAAACAGUGAGGUAAAUAGGGCCUGUCUCGGUAGAAUGGAUCCCUUUCUCAAUGUCUAGAAGGUUGUGGGACUCAGAUCAUCCUAUUUAGUUUAUUGAUUAUUCAUUCUGUGCAUUUCUUUAUCUGUCAUGAAAGUAGCAGAGUGACAGCUUUGUUGUGCUCUGUCUUAUUUAUUUUCAUUUUCACAUUCUUGCAUUUGGGUGUAUGUAUUUAUAUACAUGAAUACUUGGGUAGUGUGGAUAUGAAUAUGUAUGUAUAUGCACAUAUAUAAGAAUCAAAGAGAAUACAUGAAUAAAAUAUUAAUAAUGUACAAUGUGAUUAAAUAUAAAAACAAUACUUGUAAAAACACUGUAUAUCUGAGCACAUUGCCUUUCUUGGCAUAAGCUAUUUUUCACACUGAUGUUUAUUGUGUGUAUAUAUUAACUACCAAAAAGUAAUAAAAAAUGUAUAGGAAAUGGGCAUAACAUGAGUACUUGGUGUU